GGCGAACGCUGGCGGCGUGCUUAACACAUGCAAGUCGAGCGGAAAGGCCCUUUCGGGGGUACUCGAGCGGCGAACGGGUGAGUAACACGUGAGUAAUCUGCCCUGCGCUCUGGGAUAGCCACCGGAAACGGUGAUUAAUACCGGAUAUGAUCGCUCCACGCAUGUGGUGGUGAUGGAAAGUUUUUUCGGCGCAGGAUGUGCUCGCGGCCUAUCAGCUUGUUGGUGAGGUAAUGGCUCACCAAGGCUUUGACGGGUAGCCGGCCUGAGAGGGUGACCGGCCACACUGGGACUGAGACACGGCCCAGACUCCCACGGGAGGCAGCAGUGGGGAAUAUUGGACAAUGGGCGGAAGCCUGAUCCAGCAACGCCGCGUGAGGGAUGACGGCCUUCGGGUCGUAAACCUCUUUCAGUACCGACGAAGCGCAAGUGACGGUAGGUACAGAAGAAGGACCGGCCAACUACGUGCCAGCCGCCGCAGUAAAAC
rnacentral:rRNA from 1 species